rfam:Myotis davidii contig67182, whole genome shotgun sequence.
GGUGAUUCUCAGUGAUGCACCCCGCAAUCGGACUUUCUCCUCUCUGGUUCCAGGUGCGUCACCCGAGAACCAUA